AGUCGCGUAGCUCAGUUGGUUAGAGCACUACCUUGACAUGGUAGGGGUCGGUGGUUCGAAUCCACUCGCGACUACCA
rnacentral:tRNA from 1 species